AACUGCAAGUUGACCGAGGAGCUCAUAGAAACAUACAUUCCGUUUUGGAUUAAACCAAGCCAAUUUCUGAGUUGUGUAAGUGUUGACUUUGUUACACUCAUUUUUGUGAAUAUGUAACCGUUCCUUUAAUCAUUGCAUUGGUUUUGAAACAUAUUUUUAUACCGAUUGAGGACAUAUUCAUGCACUGAUAUUGCAUGGUUGUUGAUUUUGGGGAUAAGGCAGUAUACCUUCUCGACUUAUAUCCUGACCAAAACAUGGUUGCCAAGAGGAAAAAAUUCAUGUGAAUCAUGGUAAGCGCACUGAGACUUUGAGACAUGGUGAUGUAUAUGAUUAAAUGAUUUUGCAUUGGUUUGUUUUUGAAGUUGCUUAUUACCAGCUUGGACAACUUCAUGAGAUUAUGACUUCCACGAGCUACGAACCCUGACAAAUUUACACCCCAUCAGAACUUGCAGAUUGGCCAAUACGCAAAGGACAUGGCAUCCCUAAUUGCAACACAAGUGAUAGCUAUGCAUGCUGGGUUAUAUCUUGGCUACACCCGGAAGGUCGGUUUAAUCCACCGGAGAUUAGUGGAGUGCUUGAAGAUUCCACUAUGUGGAAAAAGACUGCAGUUUCACUUGUAGGAAGGCCUUUUAACGCGCUUGGAAGCUCCGUUAAGCUAUGGGCUUCUCAUUGGAUACGUCGUGGAGCCCCGUGAAGAAUACUAAUUCACCAUGAAUGUCUCUUUAUAGGUGUUAUCAUUAGUGUUUCGCAUUAGUUGGUUCCCCAUGGUAGCCGAUAAGCUCAUAGGGUCAAUAAGCUUGUUAGGGUUAGGAUCCUUAGCUUAAUGUUUAAUUUCCUAUAAUUGGUACUACCAGUAGACAUGUAACUGUGUUUCUUGAUAAAAGACCUGAACUAUUUUGUCGUGAUGUUGUUUCAAUCGGUA